CGGGAGCUGUUCCCUGUUCUGCCAGGAAGUGGUCAGUUUUGCUUCAGUAGACUCUUCUGCCAUGACAUUUGUGUCCGGAAGGCUGGACUGAAACCUCUGAAAUCAUGAGCAAAAGUCAAUCUCUCCUUCUGUAAAUCAUGUGGGUCCAAUCUUUGGUCCCAGUGGUGAAAAGCUGACGCAGCCCCUUUCUUCCUUGCCAUUUCAGAAUGCAAGCAAGGAGAUCUCGCCCAUCAGCGCUGUCUGUCACACAGGCCCGCCUCCCAAUACACGCGCUGCUUUCCUGUGUCCCAGAGAACUCCUGAGCACACACAGAGAAGGUUCUCAAGAAAGAGAUGGCUGAUCUGGGACAACGUUAGCUGGAGAUUCUGCUCAGGCUGGCUCUGCAGAAAGCUGAGUAAAAGAACACAGUGGCACCCUGGUCCAUGAACUUAAUUUGUUCUGUGAUUUUUGAAAAGAUGGCCACAUUCGUGUUCAUGCAGGAAAGAUGCCUGCGGUCAUGUUUGUCAC
rnacentral:lncRNA from 1 species